UUCAGGAUGGCCGAGUGGUUAAGGCGUUGGACUUAAGUUCCAAUGUACGAAUGUACGCGUGGGUUCGAACCCCACUCCUGGUA
rnacentral:tRNA from 2 species